rnacentral:rRNA from 1 species
GUGGGGAAUAUUGCACAAUGGGGGAAACCCUGAUGCAGCGACGCCUCGUGAGUGAAGAAGUAUUUCGGUACGUAAAGCUCUAUCAGCAAGGAAGAAAAUGACGGUACUUGACUAAGAAGCCCCGGCUAACUACGUGCCAGCAGCCGCGGUAAUACGUAGGGGGCAAGCGUUAUCCGGAUUUACUGGGUGUAAAGGGAGCGUAGACGGUAUGGUAAGUCAGAUGUGAAAGCCCGGGGCUCAACCCCGGGACUGCAUUUGAAACUAUCAGACUGGAGUGCAGGAGAGGUAAGUGGAAUUCCUAGUGUAGCGGUGAAAUGCGUAGAUAUUAGGAGGAACACCAGUGGCGAAGGCGGCUUACUGGACUGUAACUGACGUUGAGGCUCGAAAGCGUGGGGAGCAAACAGGAUUAGAUACCCUGGUAGUCC